ensembl:lncRNA
CCACAAAUGAGGAUAUUCAUUUAAAAUUUUGAUAGAACAGUAGCAGUAUAAUGUCCUCGUAAGUGGAUAUCAGGCCCAUGUAGAGCAAAAUUGAGUAUUUUGGUCAAAAUAACCAAAAAUGUGAUGUCCACAUAUGUGGACGGCAGGUCCUAGGAGGUUAAUGCAGAAACCAGAAAAACCUGUUUAGAGCGAACGUCUUCACGGCGACAAGAUGGGUACCGGUGUUCGUACGUCGCUCUUCAUGAUUCUUUUCCUCUGUUAUUUCGCGUUUGCGUCAACAGGAUAAAAGCAAAGCAGCAGCUACUUUGGUGUGGGAUUCCACAGCUGUGUUACAGAGAUGGAGGAAGAGUUACAGGAACUCAGGGACUUGAUCGCGCAGCUGAAAGCAGACAAUGAGAGGCUGCGUCAGGAGAGGGCUGUUGAGUCAGAUCACUUUGGACGGACCAUUAUUCUGCACUGUCGAGCUCCAAACAACAACUUCACUCUUGUACAGUGGAGCAGAGCUGGUCUGGAGCCAGAACAUGUUGCUGUUUACAAGGGUGGACAGUUCCUUCCAGAUCACCAGCAUCCAUCUUUUAAGAACCGGGUGGAUCUGCAGGACAGACAGAUGAAGGAUGGAGACGUAUCUUUGAUUCUGAAUAAUGCGACGAGUGCUGAUAGUGGAAAAUAUGAGUGUCGUGUGUUCAACAGAGGAACAGUGCGCAGGAGGAGAACCCUGUCAAGGAUUCCUCCCAUCAACACCACCUACCUGAGUGUUGUUGAUCCUCCAGGUCAGACAGGAGGACACACAGAGGAUGGAGGGAAAGAGGAUGGAGGGAAGAAGGCAGGAGGGAAUGAGUUGUCUUGGGAGUUGUUAGCGAGGGUGGCAAGAGGGAUGGAGAUGUUUGCGAGGCUGGUUAGAGGGAUGGAGUUGUUGGUAAGGGUGGCUAUAAGGAUGGAGUUGUUAGCGGUGGAGACUACAUGGAUGGAGUGGUUGGCGAGGGUGGCUAGAGGUAUGGAGUUCUUGGUGGAAGUGGUUAGAGGGAUGGAGUGGUUGAUGGAGGUGCCUAUAGGGAUUGGGUGGUUGGCGUGGGUGGCUAGAGGGAUAGAGGUUUUGG